GUCUGCAUACUUUUAUGUUAGUGUUAGAACUAUAUGUUCUAUUGUUAUUCCUUUACAGGGGAAUAAAUUUUGAUGCAUUAGUGAUUAGUCCUUUAGGAUAAGGAUUGUGAUAAUAAGUGAAAUUAGUUUUGGAAGAGUUUAUCGGCGAAAAGUAUUUUCUAACACACCAUAAAUUAUAAAGCUAAUUGGCGAGCCUAUUUAAUGUAAAGCAAGAGGACGUAAAAGUAAGUUACGGUAAUAGAAUUGCUCUAGAUGAAGGCAGAGAUGUUACUGUUAGUAAUUGUUAAUGGAUAUUGUAAUCAGAAUAAGUUUCAGGUAUCGGUGAAUUCGAAAAGGAUAAAAGAUAGGAAAAUUUGAUCUAUUGGGAUGUAUCGUAGUAACUAUGCAAUG
rnacentral:misc_RNA from 1 species